ACACAUGCAAGUCGAGGGGCAGCAUAAUGGAUAGCAAUAUCUAUGGUGGCGACCGGCGCACGGGUGCGUAACGCGUAUGCAACCUACCUUUAACAGGGGGAUAACACUGAGAAAUUGGUACUAAUACCCCAUAAUAUCAUAGAAGGCAUCUUUUAUGGUUGAAAAUUCCGAUGGUUAGAGAUGGGCAUGCGUUGUAUUAGCUAGUUGGUGGGGUAACGGCUCACCAAGGCGACGAUACAUAGGGGGACUGAGAGGUUAACCCCCCACACUGGUACUGAGACACGGACCAGACUCCUACGGGAGGCAGCAGUGAGGAAUAUGGGUCAAUGGACGCAAGUCUGAACCAGCCAUGCCGCGUGCAGGAUGACGGCUCUAUGAGUUGUAAACUGCUUUUGUACGAGGGUAAACGCAGAUACGUGUAUCUGUCUGAAAGUAUCGUACGAAUAAGGAUCGGCUAACUCCGUGCCAGCAGCCGCGGUAAUACGGAGGAUUCAAGCGUUAUCCGGAUUUAUUGGGUUUAAAGGGUGCGUAGGCGGUUUGAUAAGUUAGAGGUGAAAUUUCGGGGCUCAACCCUGAACGUGCCUCUAAUACUGUUGAGCUAGAGAGUAGUUGCGGUAGGCGGAAUGUAUGGUGUAGCGGUGAAAUGCUUAGAGAUCAUACAGAACACCGAUUGCGAAGGCAGCUUACCAAACUAUAUCUGACGUUGAGGCACGAAAGCGUGGGGAGCAAACAGGAUUAGAUACCCUGGUAGUCCACGCAGUAAACGAUGAUAACUCGUUGUCGGCGAUACACAGUCGGUGACUAAGCGAAAGCGAUAAGUUAUCCACCUGGGG
rnacentral:rRNA from 1 species